rnacentral:rRNA from 1 species
UACGUAGGGUGCAAGCGUUGUCCGGAAUUAUUGGGCGUAAAGAGCUUGUAGGCGGUCUGUCGCGUCUGCUGUGAAAAUCCGGGGCUCAACCCCGGACUUGCAGUGGGUACGGGCAGACUAGAGUGCGGUAGGGGAGACUGGAAUUCCUGGUGUAGCGGUGAAAUGCGCAGAUAUCAGGAGGAACACCGGUGGCGAAGGCGGGUCUCUGGGCCGUAACUGACGCUGAGGAGCGAAAGCGUGGGGAGCGAACAGG